AACGAACGCUGGCGGCAGGCUUAACACAUGCAAGUCGAACGGUCUCUUCGGAGGCAGUGGCAGACGGGUGAGUAACGCGUGGGAAUCUACCCAUCCCUACGGGAUAGCUCCGGGAAACUGGAAUUAAUACCGUAUACGCCCUUUUGGGGAAAGAUUUAUCGGGGAUGGAUGAGCCCGCGUUGGAUUAGCUAGUUGGUGGGGUAAAGGCUCACCAAGGCGACGAUCCAUAGCUGGUCUUAGAGGAUGAUCAGCCACAUUGGGACUGAGACACGGCCCAAACUCCUACGGGAGGCAGCAGUGGGGAAUAUUGGACAAUGGGCGCAAGCCUGAUCCAGCCAUGCCGCGUGAGUGAUGAAGGUCUUAGGAUUGUAAAGCUCUUUCACCGGGGACGAUAAUGACGGUACCCGGAGAAGAAGCCCCGGCUAACUUCGUGCCAGCAGCCGCCGUAA
rnacentral:rRNA from 1 species